rnacentral:rRNA from 1 species
CAGCCGCCGCGGUAAUACGUAGGUGGCAAGCGUUGUCCGGAAUUAUUGGGCGUAAAGGGCUCGCAGGCGGUUUCUUAAGUCUGAUGUGAAAGCCCCCGGCUCAACCGGGGAGGGUCAUUGGAAACUGGGAAACUUGAGUGCAGAAGAGGAGAGUGGAAUUCCACGUGUAGCGGUGAAAUGCGUAGAGAUGUGGAGGAACACCAGUGGCGAAGGCGACUCUCUGGUCUGUAACUGACGCUGAGGAGCGAAAGCGUGGGGAGUGAACAGGAUUAGAUACCCCUGUAGUCCCUGUCUCUUAUAC